UGAGCACGGAGAGCCUCAUGUUGGUGGGUU
rnacentral:piRNA from 1 species